UGCCACGAAUGGAGGAUUUCCUGGCGGCCAGGACAUGAUAGCGUGGAGAUUGUAAAAGAAAAAAAAAAAUAGGCGGGUGGAGAAAAAUGGCGGACUACAAGCCUACAUCCUUCCUACUACCCACAGGAACCCAAAUUUUAAAAACUAUCUGCACACAGAAAAGCACCAUCAUAAGAACCAAAAAUCAGGGUAACUGUGGAAGCUGACAGACAUAAGCCGAAGAAGAAAAUGAUUGGCAUCACUCAAAAUGGGUGCCUGGUAAGGUUCAUGGUUAAGAGAUGUGGUGCAGCUGUUCUUUUAUCUCCUACUCAGAGUGGAAAUAGCCUUACCAGAGCAAGGCACAGUGAACAAUAGAAGUAAUAUUUUUAAAAAAUGUGCCUCUGCAAAGGAUUGAUCAGUGGCUUAACAAAGAUUGACAUCAGCGUGACAUUCUCUGCAACAAUGCACAAGGCUGCACAGAAAAAUCUUCCCUAUUUACAAGCACAGUCAACCUUUCAUCUCUGAUUUCCCCUGAAGACCGCAGUGACCCUCUUAAAAUAUACUGCAGGG
rnacentral:lncRNA from 10 species